UUGAUUUAUUUAAUCAUUUACUCAGAAGAUACUGUAUAAAAACAAGAGUUUGGGUCCUCUGGCGGGACUGCCGGAGCAGGCACCGCCGAGGCAACAAUUGGUAUGUUCACAGGGGUUUGGGAGUUGUAAACUCGGUAAUGAUCCCUCCGCUGGUUCACCAACGGAGA
rnacentral:misc_RNA from 1 species